GGCUUGCAAAACGCGCGCGACCAGUUGCACAACUGGACGCAGUGGGUGCAGGAGAGGAGGCCGAGCCGGCCCUGGGCGUGGGGCCCGCCGCGCCGAGAGCCAGAAGUAGCAAAGGAAAUCAGUUUAUUGCAAACAAACACGGCAAUACCGGGGGACCUGAAUUUCAGCUGCUUUUUUUUUGGUGAACACAAGUGAUUUCCUGCUGCACGCUGCUUAAUCCCAGAUGCCGUUUCUUUGUGAAGAACAAAGGAUGGACGUUGCCUCCGGCGUGGCACUUCCUCGGUAUUGUUGCCCGUGGUUGGGGACCAGGAAAAGAGCUGCUUUUAUCCCCCACCUACUCCAAUGGCCCUCUCUUGGGCUGCUAUCUGGUACCCAGCACCGUACCUAGACUCCUGGCAGCUCCGGGUGAACUUUUAGUGUUGCCACCCUCCCUUUCCCAGAGAUAAUGAUAAUAAUAAUCAUUUAAAAAUUACCAUUUUGGGGCCUCCUUUCUGUUCGGGCCCCGGGAGGCCGCCCAGUUCACCCAUGCCCGUGUCUGGCCCAUGGUCGGGUUGUCGGCACUAAACCGCUAGCCUGGCUGAGGAGGGUGUGUGGACACCCAGCAGGACUAAAAACAAGACCUGUCGAAGGGCGGAUGAACUCCCAGUGAGGAGCUCGCCCAUACCUGGGGAGGAGAUGGACGCUGCCGGUUCAUUUUGCCCGAAGAAUCGCCAUCUAAGCUCAGCAUCUAAGGUGCCCCGAUGGCUGCAUCGGGACUGGCCUGGCUUGACUUGAAGCCAAUGGCAACAGCCUCAUUUUACAGACAAAGCAACUGAGGCACAGGACCCUGAAGGCCAGGAGGUCCAGAGCUCAGUGCUAAUUUGAGGUGCCCAACCUGCUAGCCAGUGGGCAAGGUUUUAAAAGGUGCACCCAGCUCCUUGCAAAAUUAGGGUCAAGCUGAUCCCCUCAAAUCUGCUGCUCAGAUAAAGCUGGGCCUAAGCGGCAGGUCCCAGGAAGGUGGAAUUGAGGCCCCGGUGUCCAGAACUGAUGCUGAAAACCCCUGCGCAGCCCAGCCUAACCCUGGGGGUGUCCAAACCCCAUAGGCACCUGUGCCCAUCUGUGACCUUGAGUGACUAAGCUACCGCUGCAGAAACGGGAGCAGCAGAAAUACAGCAGCAGGUCUUGGCUUCCUGACCUGCGCUUGGGCCUCUCUUGCAGGGUGCUCUGCCCGGCAGUGCCCACGUUUGCAGUGCUGUAUGCCACAGGGCACACGUGGGGUCCAGCAGAGAGAGGACAAGGCCUACUGGUCUCCGCCGGCGGGAUCUUGGGAAAAGAUCUCAAGAAGAUCCGCGUGCUGCUCAUCGGUUGCACACCCUCUAUUUAUGAUACCUGCCCUGUGUGUGCUUUGCGACCAAGAGAAGAGAGGAGAGAGACAGCUGCCUGCAAACGUCCCUGUUUCUGAAUGCACUGCUAAAUGUGCCUCGGCCAGCUGCUUUUUCUGCCAUUCAAGGGACAUCGGUGGCCUCAGAAAGGAUGGGGAGAGGGGUGGUUUCCCUGCUGACAUCUCAGCAGAAGAGACCCCCGGCCUUGGGGCUUUCUGCAGAGGACACUACAGCCGGUGACAGGUUCCGGAGAGAGUCUGGAUCAAACCAAGCCGUGCAUCCAGCCAGUCCGGCGUCCUGCCUCCAGGACGGGUAGCCUGCCCUUUCCGCUGGCCUGCUCCAACCUCCUGCCCAACAGAGGCCAAAGGAUCUCACUCAGCACCUCCAGUCUCAAACAGGUGCCCAGCAAGAGGAGAAUCACGGGAUGGACCUUUUCGGCACAGAAGUCCAGGCUUGAUGGGGACAGCAAAUCCCCUGUGUCCCUCGGUAAGUCGUUCUGCUGGGUAACUACCCUCCUGAUUAAAACGUGGUCUCAGGCUUGCAUUUAUGUAGCUUCAACUCCCAGCCUUUGCAGCUGGGCGUCAAGGCAGGCUAGAAGCUAAUGCGGAAGCGGCAAGCUAGAUGCGAGGGCCUGGCACCUGUCUGGCAGCCAGAGAAUGGCUCUUGCGCUUUGGGGAAGGGCAGGGGCGCUGUGACCCGGAGCAUUGUGCAACAUGGAAGAUGGGUGGGGAAGAAUGCCUUCCUCUUCCCUGCAGGCCUGGCACUCCCACCCCACAGCCUGACAUUCAGCCGUUGCCCUCGGUGCAAGCGUGCGUAAUUACAGGUGCUAUUUUGGACCGCACCGCCCUCCACCCUUUGCUGGUGGCUCCUGCCGGGGUGAGCAAUGCAGGGCCGGAGGUGCAGCCUGCAGGAGGAAAGCCUGAUUGUCAAGGGAGUUCGACUUUGGGAGGAGGUCACGGCGAUGAUGCAAGGAGCAAGGCUUGGGGAACCCGCACGUUCUGCUGGGGGCUGGCCCAGGGCCCCUCUAGGCUGCUUCCAGGCUCGCUCAGGCCACAGAUGCGAACGGUGAGGAUCCAUGUCAGUGGUUCACGAGGCUCUGCUUUUGUACACGGACAUGUGCAUCCAGGCACAUGCAUGCACACGGAGUCAGGAAGCUAAACCUGAUCAUCGAAUCAUUAGAAAAUGAGGGCGGGAAGGGACUUCAGGAGAUCACAUCUAGUCCAACGCCCUGCUGCAAGCAGGACCAGCCCCAACUACAUCAUCCCAGCCAAGGCUUGGUCUAGCUGGGUCUUAUAAACCUCCAAGGAUGGAGAAUCCACCACUUCUCUGGGUAACCCCUUCCAGCGCUUCACCACCCUCCUCGUGAGAACAUUUUCUCUAAUAUCCAAUCAACUUCCCUUGCUGCAACUUGAGCCCAUUGCUCCUUCUGUCAUCUGCCCCUGCUGAGACCAGCCCAGCUCCCUCCUCUGUGUAACCCCUCUGCAGGGAGCUGAAGGCUGCUCUUCAAUCCCCUCUCGGUCUGCUCUCCUCCAGACUAAAUAAGCCCCGUUCCCCCCGCCUCUCCUCACCAGUCAUGGGCCCCAGCUCCCAAAUUAUUUUUGCUGCCCACCACUGGACUCUCUCCAAUUUGUGCCCAUCGUUUCUGUAGUGGAGGGCCCAAAACUGGAUGCAGUGCUCCAGAUGUGGCCUCACCAAUGCAGAAUAAAGGGGAAGAAUCACUGCCCUCAAUCUGCUGGCAAUGCUCCUGCCACUGCAGCCCAGGAUGUCAUUUGCCUUCUUGGCACCAAGGGCCCACUGCUGGCUCCUGUUCAGCUUCUUGUCCGCUGUCACCCCCAGGUCCGUUGCUGCAGAGCUGCUGCCCAGCCCGUCACCCCUAGCCUGCACCAGUGCACGGGAUUAUUCUGUUUUAAAUUGCAGGACUUUGCCCUUCCCCUUAUUGAACCUCAUGAGAUUUCUUGUGGUCCAAUCCUCCAAUUUGUCGGGGUCACUCUGAAUCCUAGGCCUGCCCUCUUGCCCAUCUACUACUCCCCCAGCUUGGUGUCACGUGCAGACUUGCUGCAGGUGCGCCGCAUCCCAUCUUCCAGGCCGCUGAUGAAGACAUUGAACAAAACCGGCCCCUGGGGCGCCCCACUUGAUACCGGCUGCCAACCGGACAUUGAGCCAUUGAUGACUACCCUUUGAGCCAGGCGACCCAGCCGGUUAUCUGUCCGCCUUACAGUCCAUUCAUCCAAUCUGCGCUUCCUUCAUCCCAAACUACUGGAGCCUGCUGGGUGACACACCUGAGCAGAAAACCUCCCCAGGAGAUGGAUGUGGAAGGCUCCUGCUAUCAGCCCUCCACAGCCUGGAGCCUGCAGGUGAAAGGCUAAGGGGGCUCCACGCCGGAGAAAGCUGUCCCCUGGGCUCGGAUGGAAGAAAGGGGCUGCCUGUCGGGAUGCUCCCUGCAGCGGAUCCGGUUGGUAGUAAACAAACCAGAGUGGCUGUAACUGGAUCCUCCUGCCCGGCAGGGUAGUAGCAGGGAGGCCUCCUGUGGGAGGGUAGAAUUACAGGCAAGAGGAGCGGCUACCGAAAGGGCUGCCAGGCAAAUAAAAGGGAACAGCCCAAACCAGGCUGGUGGGGCUGGCGGACCCCCUCCUCCCACCCGCACACCCGGUAUAACGCGCUCAGAAGGCAGAUUGGGCCUGCGGCAUCCUCCUUGCAGAUGCGGGUGAUCUGGCCAAAGCAUCUGGGGUUUCACUUCUUGUGCAGCACAGAGAGGGGAAACUGAGGCACGGGUCGGCUGCCUUGCUAAGAGGUUAGACCAGGGGUUUGCCUGGGGUGGUUUGGAUAAGGAUGAUCCUGCCUCAAGCAGGGGGGUGGACUAGAUGUGACCUCCGGAGAUCCCUUCCAGCCCCACUUCUCUGUGAGUCUAUGAGGAUUCCCACGCCGAUGCCCUGCCCUAGGAAGGGAUCGGAUUUGGGAGGGCUUGGCAGGCAGAGCUCCCGGAGGCUGUGUCCACAAGGACGGUGAUUCCAGCAGGGGCCAGUGCCCCUUCCUGUGCCCGACGACAUCUUGGUGAGUCUGAUGUCACCUAUACGAUGGCAAUAUACCCACCAAAAAGCAAAGCAAUGUGGCAUCCCCAAGGGGACCAGAGACUCAGAGCGAUCACAGGGGUGCUGGAGCUGCCCUCCGUGUCCCCUGCAGCCCUGGCUGCACUGGGAUUUGCUAGUGUCGUUGCCCCCUUGUGCUGGGCACUGCCCAGAUGCCCGGGAAAAGCCGGUGCCUUCCCCAAAAAACACAGACAAGGCGGGACUGGUGUUGCUGUCCUACAGAGCCCAGAAACUCCCCACGAGCCCCUGCUCUUUCUGCAGCAUCGCACGGCAGCCUGGGGACCCACUGCCUUCCAGCCAGCACCAAAUCCCUGUCGUCCCUGGCACCUGAUGACCUCUCUAUGCCACUGCCGGAGGCUUUUCCACCUCCCUGUAACGGCCUGGGCUCAGAGCAGCCCUGCCAGUGCCCUGGGCUGGAGAGUGCAGCCCGGUGAGCUCUCCGGUGGCUGCAGAGGGCCUUAACGGCAUUGCACAGACCUGUUCCCUGCUCGCUCUGUGCAGCGGGAUGAGGGCCAGGCUCCACGGCUGCACAAUGGCUCCUGCGUGCUGGGGUCAAAGCGACGCACUGAGUGGCAGGGGCUGAGGUUUCAACCCGUGCCUCAGUUUCCCUUUCCCGUCACAUGCAAAAGAAGGGAGCCCGGGCUUUGUCGGUGGGGGCUGAGAGGGGGAAAGGUGCAGGACUGGGGCCUGUCCUCAUCAUCUCCAGUCUGUUCUCCACGUGCAGCCCCGGGGUCCUGGUUUGGUGGGGACCGGGUGCCACCUAGCGGAGAGAGGGGCAAAGACUGCAUGAGGACCCUAGCAUGGGAGCGCUCUGAGCACCCAGGCCAGGACCCAGGGGGGCAGAGCUGGCAGCCCGGCUUGGCCUGAGGCUUAAAAGGGGGAGCUGGGAGCCGGCUUGUCCAGAGGGACCUCGGAGCAGUUUUAGCCUGGAAGAGGCAGAGCGGCUGGGGCAGCUGACGGGGACUCCCAGGACGCCUGGUUUUUCCCUAGCUGCAAGCAGCACGUCCGAGCGGUCAGCAGCCAGGCCGAUCCAGGGCUGCUGGGCUCCAGUCCCUGCUCCGACGGAGAGUGGGGUUCAGCGGCUAAAGCAGAGGGGCUGGGAAUCACCGGUGGAUGCAGAUGCUUCUGUGCCCCCCUCCAGCGCCAAAGCUGCAGCCAGUAUGGACUCACCCUCGCUACCAGCCCUCGGCUUAGCCUGAAAGUCCCCCAUCCGCAGCAGUACCACGGAGAGUCCACGGUCCACCUCUCUGCACCCCGGAGCCAGGCCUUCCUUUGCUCCCACCCGCGCGGUCAAACUGCCCUCCAGAUGUGAGAGCCAGGACCCUGCCUGAGCUCCUGGAAAUCACCACACCAAGCAAAACGCCGGAGCAGCGAGAUGUGCACAGCUCCCUUGGCGGCAGGCAACUGGGAAAGGAGGGGCAGAAGCGAGGCUGGCUCCAGCCCCCAGCCCAGCUGCUGCCAACCUUCACGAUCCAAGGGCAAGGCCCCCUUGGAGACCGAUGCCCGCACGGUAGUGGGGUCCCUCAGGGAAGGAGAGGUGCCUGGAAGUGGGGGGGGUUGGGCCACAUCACUGGACAUCAAACAAGGGUCUAAUGAGCAUCUUGCUAACGAGUCCCCCUCGUGGCUGACCUGGGAGCAGGGAUCGUGGGGUGAGUCCAAAUGAUGGAAAAGCCCGCCCCGGCCUCCGGUCCCUUCCAACGACCGACUCCCCCUUGCUUAAAUUGACACUUUUAAGCCAACCUCCUCAUGCGGUUGCCACGUCUCGAGGCACCGUGGGAACAGGGGAGGGUGUGCGGGGACUGGGGAGAAUUUGGGGCUCGGUGGCGGGGUGCAGGAUCCUGAGAAAGAGCAGGGUGGGGGCAGCGUCGGUGCUGGGGUCGAUCUUGCCCGCCUACCUGCCAGUCCUGGAGGGCGCGGAAACGAUGCCGCCAGUGCCAGGUGCCACCCCGAGCUGCCACCACUGCUGCCCACGCUACGUGGGAGAUAGCCAGAGAUGAGGGAUGCUACCAGUCACCACGGUACCCGGUGGCCCUUGUUGCUAGGCAACCCAGCACUGGCAGUUUUCUUCUAGGCAAUGCUAGUGCCAACUGCCCGGUGCCCCCUGCCCACCUGGGGAGUGGAGUAGGGGGGCACCAACAGCACCCCAGCAGCAUGAGAGGAACAAGUGCAAGGCGGGGGAAGGCCAGAAGCACCAGGGAUGCUGGGCUCAGGGGGCUUUGUCCUAUUAUGAGCAUGUCUCCAAUGAGCAAAGGUUUGGUGCAGGAGGCCGCUGGCCCUUCGUCUCCCCCCAGUCCAAGCAGAGCAGAGAGCAGCUGGCUCCCAGGUGCGCUCCAGUGAUGGCUCCAGCCAGCCAGCCGGACAUGGGCCAGGGAGUGUUCAGGAAUCACUCUGAGCCCAGUGCACGAAAGGGACCUCACUCGCUCCCCGACCUCCUUAUGCGAUCCCCUGGGCUCGCCAUCUCCCAGGAGACACCAGCAUGACUGUAGUUAGGAGACGGCAAGUCCAGCCAGCCCGGUGGCAUUACGCCCUGGGACUUGCCCUGCUGGGGCUGUUGCUUAACUGAGACCUUCUCAGGCAAAACACCCCGUUACAGCCCUGACGCGUGGCUUUGGGUGGACGGCUUCAGGGCUUCUUCACCAGACACUGCUGCUAUUUGCAACCGUUGAUUUCUAUCCCAGAUGCCCACCCUGCUUGUGAUGCACCAGCUGCUCCCAGGACCCGGUUCGAAAUCCCCACGUCCCCGCGCCUAGCAUCUCCCACGAGAGGCAGGCGGCUUCUCAGUGUUUUGCCACCCACAAGGCCUGAGCCCCGUUCCCGGGGGCUGCUCUGGUACUAAGCACGGCUCAGCGCUUGGCCCUAUGCCCCUUAUUAUCUGAAGACCGUCUUCCCCCAACCCGACAGGUGGGGGAGAAUGGAUAGCGGCAGUCGCACAUCACAGCCCGCAUGUCGCCGUGAACGGUGCGAGCCCGCCUCUCUGAAAUGCAGUCCACGUCCAGACAGCACGAGCUUUGUUUGGUCAAACUGCAUUAAACCCGCACAAUGAGCUGUUUAGUGGCAGUAACUUCCAGUGAAAGUGCUCUCCGGGAAGCGAGAAGAAUAACCUGGAACGAGCCCACGGGGAGGGGGGUUCAAGGCAGCAUAAACAAAUCCAUUGCUGCAGGGGGGAGUUUUUUCCUGUGCUACCGUCACAGGCUCUUUAGCUGGAUUUGGCCUGUGUCCUUGGUAUACGCAGCAAGCACCGAUAGCUCCCUCAAUGGACCCCUUCGCUUGAAACCGCUAUAAGCCAUCACCAGCUCUUCUCUCCCAAACCCUGCAUGACUUCAAAGUAUCCUAUUUAAUAUGUUCUUUCUAUGGAUCAGUGUCCUGAUUAAAAUAAAAACCCAUCCAGCACCAAGAA